GACGAACGCUGGCGGCGUGCUUAACACAUGCAAGUCGAACGGAAAGGCCCUGCUUUUGUGGGGUGCUCGAGUGGCGAACGGGUGAGUAACACGUGAGUAACCUGCCCUUGACUUUGGGAUAACUUCAGGAAACUGGGGCUAAUACCGGAUAGGAGCUCCUGCUGCAUGGUGGGGGUUGGAAAGUUUCGGCGGUUGGGGAUGGACUCGCGGCUUAUCAGCUUGUUGGUGGGGUAGUGGCUUACCAAGGCUUUGACGGGUAGCCGGCCUGGGAGGGUGACCGGCCACAUUGGGACUGAGAUACGGCCCAGACGGCUGCGGGAGGCAGCAGUGGGGAAUAUUGCACAAUGGGCGGAAGCCUGAUGCAGCAACGCCGCGUGCGGGAUGACGGCCUUCGGGUUGUAAACCGCUUUCGCCUGUGACGAAGCGUGAGUGACGGUAAUGGGUAAAGAAGCACCGGCUAACUACGUG
rnacentral:rRNA from 1 species